AACAGUCCUGGAAGCUGCAGUCCUCUCCCCAUCAUAGAUGUGCAGCAAAGUUUAGAAGCUGUGCAGGCUUCCCCUGACACUGCCCUGCCAAUGUACUCAACCCUGACCUGAAGGGACCACCUCUAGGGAUGUAAGUCAUUUGUAGCUUGUUAAAGUGGCAGAUAAGCUACU
ensembl:misc_RNA